rfam:Pseudozyma hubeiensis SY62 DNA, scaffold: PHS27.
GGGGGUUUAGCUCAGUUGGUAGAGCGUUCGCUUUGCACCGCUCUCGAGUAGUUGUUUUGUCUUCUGCGAAAUGUCGCGUGUUCGACUCAUGCAGUCUCCA